GCUGGGCGCAAUGGCACAUGCCUAUAAUCCCAGCAGCUUGGGAGGCUGAGGCAGGAGGAUUGCAGGUUCAAAGCCAGCCUCAGUAACUUGGCGAGACCCUGCCUCAG
rnacentral:sRNA from 1 species